rnacentral:rRNA from 1 species
CGGAGGGUGCAAGCGUUAUCCGGAUUCACUGGGUUUAAAGGGUGUGUAGGCGGGCUUUUAAGUCAGUGGUGAAAUCUCCAGGCUCAACCUGGAAACUGCCAUUGAUACUAUUAGUCUUGAAUAUUGUUGAGGUAGGCGGAAUAUGUCAUGUAGCGGUGAAAUGCUUAGAUAUGACAUAGAACACCGAUUGCGAAGGCAGCUUGCUAAACAAUUAUUGACGCUGAGGCACGAAAGCGUGGGGAUCAAACAGGAUUAGAUACCCUGGUAGUCCACGCCCUAAACGAUGAUUACUGGACAUUUGCGAUAUACAGUGAGUGUCUGAGCGAAAGCAUUAAGUAAUCCACCUGGGAAGUACGUCCGCAAGGAUG